UACAGAGGGUGCAAGCGUUAAUCGGAAUUACUGGGCGUAAAGAGUGUGUAGGCGGUGCUCUAAGUUCGUUGUGAAAUCUCCCGGCUUAACUGGGAGGGUGCGGCGGAAACUGGUGUGCUCGAGGGUGGGAGAGGUAAGCGGAAUUCCUGGUGUAGCGGUGAAAUGCGUAGAUAUCAGGAAGAACACCCGUGGCGAAGGCGGUUCUCUGGGACGGUACUGACGCUGAGACGCGAAAAGCGUGGGGGAGCGAACAGG
rnacentral:rRNA from 1 species